rnacentral:rRNA from 1 species
AGCUUGCUCUUUCCGGAAUUGAGUGGCAAACGGGUGAGUAACACGUAAACAACCUGCCUUCAGGAUGGGGACAACAGACGGAAACGACUGCUAAUACCGCAUGACACAUAGAGAUCGCAUGGUUUUUAUGUCAAAGAUUUAUCGCUGAAAGAUGGCCUCGCGUCUGAUUAGCUAGUUGGUGAGGUAACGGCCCACCAAGGCGACGAUCAGUAGCCGGACUGAGAGGUUGAACGGCCACAUUAGGACUGAGAGACGGCCCAGACUCC